GAUGAACGCUGGCGGCGUGCCUAAUACAUGCAAGUCGAGCGAACGGACGAGAAGCUUGCUUCUCUGAUGUUAGCGGCGGACGGGUGAGUAACACGUGGAUAACCUACCUAUAAGACUGGGAUAACUUCGGGAAACCGGAGCUAAUACCGGAUAAUAUUUUGAACCGCAUGGUUCAAAAGUGAAAGACGGUCUUGCUGUCACUUAUAGAUGGAUCCGCGCUGCAUUAGCUAGUUGGUAAGGUAACGGCUUACCAAGGCAACGAUGCAUAGCCGACCUGAGAGGGUGAUCGGCCACACUGGAACUGAGACACGGUCCAGACUCCUACGGGAGGCAGCAGUAGGGAAUCUUCCGCAAUGGGCGAAAGCCUGACGGAGCAACGCCGCGUGAGUGAUGAAGGUCCUCGGAUCGUAAAACUCUGUUAUUAGGGAAGAACAUAUGUGUAAGUAACUGUGCACAUCCUGACGGUACCUAAUCAGAAAGCCACGGCUAACUACGUG
rnacentral:rRNA from 1 species